AAUAUUGCGCAAUGGGGGAAACCCUGACGCAGCGACGCCGCGUGAAGGAAGAAGGUCNNNGGAUUNUCAACUUCUUUGAUUGGNGACNAAGGAAGUGACGGUACCCAAAAAACAAGCCACGGCUAACUACGUGCCAGCAGCCGCGGUAAUACGUAGGUGGCGAGCGUUGUCCGGAAUUACUGGGUGUAAAGGGCGCGUAGGCGGGAAUGUAAGUCAGAUGUGAAAACCCGGGGCUUAACCCCGGGGCUGCAUCUGAAACUAUGUUUCUUGAGUGCUGGAGAGGAAAGCGGAAUUCCUAGUGUAGCGGUGAAAUGCGUAGAUAUUAGGAGGAACACCAGUGGCGAAGGCGGCUUUCUGGACAGUAACUGACGCUGAUGCGCGAAAGCGUGGGGAGCAAACAGG
rnacentral:rRNA from 1 species